CGUGUAGGCGGUUCAGUAAGUUGGGUGUGAAAGCUCCGGGCUCAACCCGGAGAGGCCACUCAAUACUGCUGUGACUAGAGUCCAGUAGAGGAGCGUGGAACUCCUGGUGUAGCGGUGAAAUGCGCAGAUAUCAGGAAGAACACCGGCAGCGAAGGCGGCGCUCUGGGCUGGUACUGACGCUGAGGAGCGAAAGCAUGGGUAGCAAACA
rnacentral:rRNA from 1 species